GAUGAACGCUAGCGGCAGGCCUAAUACAUGCAAGUCGAACGGGAUCCAGAUCAAAGCUUGCUUUGGUUUGGUGAGAGUGGCGCACGGGUGCGUAACGCGUGAGCAACCUACCCUUGUCAGGGGGAUAGCCCGGCGAAAGUCGGAUUAAUACCGCAUGACAUCAUUGAGAGGCAUCUUUCGAUGAUCAAAGAUUUAUCGGACAAGGAUGGGCUCGCGUGACAUUAGCUAGUUGGUAAGGUAACGGCUUACCAAGGCUACGAUGUCUAGGGGCUCUGAGAGGAGAAUCCCCCACACUGGUACUGAGACACGGACCAGACUCCUACGGGAGGCAGCAGUAAGGAAUAUUGGUCAAUGGACGGUAGUCUGAACCAGCCAUGCCGCGUGCAGGAAGACGGCCCUAUGGGUUGUAAACUGCUUUUAUACGGGAACAAACGUCGGUACGUGUACCGGUCUGAGUGUACCGUAAGAAUAAGGAUCGGCUAACUCCGUG
rnacentral:rRNA from 1 species